rnacentral:ribozyme from 15 species
AAUGAUUAACAAAUAUAAGAGAACUAGUAAAUAAAGGAAUAAACCAUCUCCAAUUAGGUUUAUUUAUCAUCUUUUAUUCUUUUCUUUUCUUGUUUUUCUUUCUUCUUUU